GCCGGGACCAUCCGGUAAGGCUAAAUACUCCUGAGAGACCGAUAGUGAACUAGUACCGUGAGGGAAAGGUGAAAAGAACCGUGAAUAACGGAGUGAAAAAGACCCUGAAACCAUACGCUUACAAGCGGUUGGAGCAGCUUUAGGCUGUGACAGCGUGCCUUUUGCAUAAUGAGCCUACGAGUUACUGUUACCAGCGAGGAUAAGUAUUUCAGAUACGAAUCCGCAUCGAAAGAGAGUCUGAAAAGGGCGCAAAUAGUUGGUAGUAGUAGACGCGAAACCUGGUGAUCUACCCUUGGGCAGGUUGAAGCGCUGGUAACACAGCGUGGAGGACCGAACUGGUUGUCGUUGAAAAGACUUCGGAUGACCUGAGGGUAGGGGUGAAAGGCCAAUCAAACUGGGAAAUAGCUCGUACUCCCCGAAAUGCAUUUAGGUGCAGCGUUGGUGUGAGUUUAAUAGAGGUAGAGCUACUGAUUGGAUGCGGGGGUUUCAUCGCCUACCAAUUCCUGACAAACUCCGAAUGCUAUUAAAUGCUCAUCAGCAGUGAGGGUAUGGGUGCUAAGGUCCAUAUCCUAAAGGGAAAGAACCCGGACCAUCAGCUAAGGUCCCCAAAUAUAUGCUAAGUUGACCAAACGCGGUCUGACUGCACUGACAGCUAGGAUGUUGGCUUGGAAGCAGCCAUACAUUUAAAGAGUGCGUAACAGCUCACUAGUCGAGCGGUUGGGCAUGGAUAAUAAACGGGCAUAAGCAUAUUACCGAAGCUAUGGGGUUAUUGAAAGAUAUACCGGUAGGGGAGCAUUCUAUAGGCGUGGAAGCUAAAGGCGUGAGCCAUAGUGGAGCUGAUAGAAAAGAAAAUGUAGGCAUAAGUAACGAUAAGGCAGGCGAGAAACCUGCCCGCCGAAAGAUCAAGGUUUCCUCAGCUAUGCUAAUCAGCUGAGGGUUAGUCGGGGACUAACGCGCACCCGAGCAGGGGAAGUGGAUGUACAACAGGUUAAUAUUCCUGUACCAUUAAUCUGAUAAAAGUGACGGAACGAGAUAACUACCGCGUACUGACGGAAUAGUACGUUAAAGGAGCUGUUAUGGCUUUGAUAGUACACUGAGGCUUCGGCUAAGGUGAUAGAGUGGUGACAACGUUUCCAAGAAAAGCGAAGAUUAAUGCCCGUACCGUAAACCGACACAGGUGAUUGGGAAGAGAAUUCUAAGGCGCUCGAGAGAUUCAUGGCUAAGGAACUAGGCAAAAUAGACCUGUAACUUCGGGAGAAAGGUCGCCUAUCGUAAGAUAGGCCGCAGUGAAAAGGUCCAAGCGACUGUUUAUCAAAAACACAGGACUCUGCAAAAUCGAAAGAUGAGGUAUAGGGUCUGACACCUGCCCGGUGCUGGAAGGUUAAGAGGAGAGCUUAGUGGUAACACGAAGGUUUGAAUUGAAGCCCCAGUAAACGGCGGCCGUAACUAUAACGGUCCUAAGGUAGCGAAAUUCCUUGUCGGGUAAGUUCCGACCUGCACGAAUGGUGUAACGAUUUGGACACUGUCUCGGCCAUGAGCUCGGUGAAAUUGUAGUAUCGGUGAAGAUGCCGAUUACCCGCAGUGGGACGAAAAGACCCUGUGCACCUUUACUAUAUCUUCGUAUUGGUCUUGGAUAAGUGAUGCGUAGGAUAGGUGGGAGACUAAGAAGCGGCUAUUCCGGUAGUUGUGGAGUCAUUGUUGAAAUACCACCCUUUGCUUAUCUGAGGUCUAACUUUGCUAAGAGCAAAGGACAAUUCGUGGAGGGUAGUUUGACUGGGGUGGUCGCCUCCAAAAGAGUAACGGAGGCUUCUAAAGGUUCCCUCAGCACGCUUGGUAACCGUGCGGAGAGUGCAAUGGCAUAAGGGAGCUUGACUGAGAGACCCACAAGUCGAUCAGGUACGAAAGUAGAGCAUAGUGAUCCGGUGGUUCCGUAUGGAAGGGCCAUCGCUCAAAGGAUAAAAGGUACUCCGGGGAUAACAGGCUGAUC
rnacentral:rRNA from 1 species